rnacentral:rRNA from 1 species
GACGAACGCUGGCGGCGUGCCUAAUACAUGCAAGUCGAACGCAGUGGGGACGGGUGAGUAACCCGUGGGUAACCUCCCAUCAGAGGGGAUAACACUUGGAAACAGGUGCUAAACCGAUACUGAUGGAUGGACCCGCGGUGCAUUAGCUAGUUGGUGAGGUAACGGCUCACCAAGGGCACGAUGCAUAGCCGAACGGGGAGGGGGAUAGGCAACACUGGGACGGAGACACGGCCCAGACUCCUACGGGAGGCAGCAGUAGGGAAUCUUGGGCAAGGGACGAAAGUCUGACCGAGCAACGCCGCGGGAGUGAAGAAGGUUUUCGGAGCGGAAAACUCGGUUGGUAGAGAAGCGGUAUCUAACCAGAAAGCCACGGCUAACGACGUGCCAGCCGCCGCGGUAAUAG